AAGUCGUAACAAGGUAACCGUAGGUGAACCUGCGGUUGGAUCAUUAAUGAAUUAUGUCUUGACGUGAAGUCAAGGCUAAUUAGAGGUUGAAGGUUUGAAAGUGGUCGCAAGGCGCCGGAUAACCCUCCCUCGCUUACACCUGUGAACUGUUUGUCUUUGGAAGGAGUAGCUAACUUCCACUGACUACCCAAAUUUAUAGUCUUUAGAAACUAGUCUUAAUUAAACAACGUAAUGUUGAUACAACUUUAGACAACGGAUCUCUUGGCUCUC
rnacentral:misc_RNA from 1 species